rnacentral:rRNA from 1 species
UGGGGAAUAUCGCACAAUGGGCGCAAGCCUGAUGCAGCCAUGCCGCGAGUAUGAAGAAGGCCUUCGGGUUGUAAAGUACUUUCAGUCGGGAGGAAGGUGGUAAGGCUAAUAACCUUAUCAAUUGACGUUACCGACAGAAGAAGCACCGGCUAACUCCGUGCCAGCAGCCGCGGUAAUACGGAGGGUGCAAGCGUUAAUCGGAAUUACUGGGCGUAAAGCGCACGCAGGCGGUUGAUUGAGUCAGAUGUGAAAUCCCCGGGCUUAACCCGGGUAUUGCAUCUGAUACUGGUCAGCUAGAGUCUUGUAGAGGGGGGUAGAAUUCCAUGUGUAUCGGUUAAAUGCGUAGAGAUGUGGAGGUAUACCGGUGGCGAAGGCGGCCCCCUGGACAACGCCUGACGCUCAAGUGCGAAAGCGUGGGGAGCUAACAGG